GCCUGGGUGGCUCAGUCAGUUGGGCAUCUGACUCUGACUCAGGUCAUGAUCUCACAGUUCGUGGGUUCGAACCCCGCGUCAGGCU
rnacentral:tRNA from 1 species